AAGUCGUAACAAGGUUUCCGUAGGUGAACCUGCGGAAGGAUCAUUAACGUAGGGCUCCGGCCCUGCCGAGAUAGAACCCCUGUCCUUUUCAGUACUGUGCGUUUCCUGGGCGGGCUCCGGCCCGCCAGCGUGGGACCCAACACAAACCACUUGAACCACCCGUCACCUGUCUGAGAAAACAAACAAAAUUAAAACUUUCAACAACGGAUCUCUUGGUUCUG
rnacentral:misc_RNA from 1 species